rnacentral:rRNA from 1 species
GACGAACGCUGGCGGCGUGCUUAACACAUGCAAGUCGAACGCUGAAGCUCAGCUUUUGUUGGGUGGAUGAGUGGCGAACGGGUGAGUAACACGUGAGUAACCUGCCUCCUUCUUUGGGAUAACGCCCGGAAACGGGUGCUAAUACUGGAUAUUCACUGGUCUUCGCAUGGGGGUUGGUGGAAAGGGUUUUUCUGGUGGGGGAUGGGCCAGCGGCCUAUCAGCUUGUUGGUGGGGUGAUGGCCUAACAAGGCUUUGACGGGUAGCCGGCCUGAGAAGGUGACCGGGCACAUUGGGACGGGGAUACGGCCCAGACUCCUACGGGAGGCAGCAGUGGGGAAUAUUGCACAAUGGGCGCAAGACUGAUGCAGCGACGCAGCGUGAGGGAUGGAGGCCUUCGGGUUGUGAACCUCUUUCGCUCAUGUUGAAGCCGAAACAAUGGUUGUGGUGAGGGUAGUGGGUAAAGAAGCGCCGGCUAACUACGUG